GUUUCUCAACAUCAUCUAGUUUUUUAGUUAAGCAACGGUCUGCUAAAGCCUCCAAGGAGUCAUCAUGUGGAACUCUAGAACUUUACUUUCUCAGCUGGAUGUUAUCCUAAGCUUUGUGCAAUCACGCAACGACCUUCCAAGGUCGUAACUACGCAGGUAAAUUACCUCGAGCGUGGAAUCGUGAUAAACGAGCAGUUAACCAACUAAGGCCUUCCAGUUCUUUUGACGAUAAAAACAAAACAAAAAAAAUCUCAUUUGAAAAGUCCAUCUAUAAACGACGUCUUUAUCCAUUCACUGAAACUCUUUGUCAAGGUUUUGCCUGUUCCAAUGGAAUAAGGCCAUUCUUCAAGGGAUGGGGUACUUCAGUUCCAUGACGAAGCAGAAGUACUAUCAUGUCAAUCCUGUUGUCAAAAUCAAAAAAUCCAUCGUUCGUUUUCUAGAAAAAUGAAAUCGUCAUAGAUUUACUUAAUACCUUUAUCAUUUGAAUUUAAAACGUGGGCUUAAACCUGUUUCUUUUGUCAAUAGAAACCAUAGCUGUUCGUGGUCUUCUUAUAUGGACGUUUGUGCGAUUGACAGUUCAAGGGAAUCACGUCCACGUGAAAAUUCUUAACGAGAACUCAUAAAAAAACAUUUCUGCCAUGGAACAAUAGGUGCAUCGCCAUCCGCCAGAUCAAGGAAUUGUCAAACUUGAUUCGUCGUUUUUCACCAUUUUAUGGAUGGAUGGCCAAAAAUGGGAGGUCAGUGAAAGUUAUUGUAGACUUAAAAAAAAAAAAUCUUAUAGUUUGUGUGUUAAGAAAAUGAAUAUGGAAGUAAAAGUGUGUCGGACGCUA